CAGUAAAGAAGUGAAUGAAUGCAUUCAAGUGAGAACAUGAGCAACAAGCAUAGGCUUGGGUGACCUGCUGUUUCAGAUGCAUAAGUACCCAACAGACAAACUAUACAUAUUAUGCACAUUUCUUGCAAACACAACCUGCAUGAAAUCCUGCAGAGGAAAUGAUGUCACCACUCCAGUCAUUAUCCUCCAUGCAACACUCAUUGUCUUGUGGCUGGUGUUGUCUGUGACCUGCUCACAAGAUGGGGUUAUGAAAUGCUGUAUUACCUACCAUACUCUUCAGAUCUUAUCCCCUAUGAUUGAUUUAUUUUCUAAAUUUAAGGAAUCCCUAUGAGACAUUUAUUUCCACACAUUUCCUGACAUUGUGUGCAGUCCACUGCUCCAUCUGUGACAUCAAUACAUUUGAGGCUGCCAACAGCAUUAUGAAGCUACAACAAUGAUGGUAAAAGAUCACAGACAAUGAUGAAGACUAUAUUGGGAGACUGUAAAAAUGAAUCUAUGGUAUGCCUUUUCUGUGCCAAUCUGUCUAUUGUGAUCACUGUUAAAUUUCCAAUCCUCACAUGUUAUUAUUCAAUAUAUUUAGUUUUAUC
rnacentral:lncRNA from 1 species